rnacentral:rRNA from 1 species
UACGAAGGGGGCGAGCGUUGUUCGGAAUUACUGGGCGUAAAGCGCACGUAGGCGGGUCGUUAAGUCGGGGGUGAAAUCCUGGAGCUCAACUCCAGAACUGCCUUCGAUACUGGCGACCUAGAGUCCGGAAGAGGUGAGUGGAACUCCUAGUGUAGAGGUGGAAUUCGUAGAUAUUAGGAAGAACACCAGUGGCGAAGGCGGCUCACUGGUCCGGUACUGACGCUGAGGUGCGAAAGCGUGGGGAGCAAACAGG